GACGAACGCUGGCGGCGUGCUUAACACAUGCAAGUCGAACGGAAAGGCCCUGCUUUGGUGGGGUGCUCGAGUGGCGAACGGGUGAGUAACACGUGAGUAACCUGCCCUGGACUUUGGGAUAACUUCAGGAAACUGGGGCUAAUACCGGAUAGGAGCGCAUGGUGCAGGGGGGGGGGAGGAAAGUUUCGGCGGGUGGGGAUGGACUCGCGGCUUAUCAGCUUGUUGGUGGGGUAGUGGCUUACCAAGGCGUUGACGGGUAGCCGGCCUGAGAGGGUGACCGGCCACAUUGGGACUGAGAUACGGCCCAGACUCCUACGGGAGGCAGCAGUGGGGAAUAUUGCACAAUGGGCGGAAGCCUGAUGCAGCAACGCCGCGUGCGGGAUGACGGCCUUCGGGUUGUAAACCGCUUUCGCCUGUGACGAAGCGUGACUGACGGUAAUGGGUAAAGAAGCACCGGCUAACUACGUG
rnacentral:rRNA from 1 species